GUGGGAGGGAGGUCAGCAAGCAGAGGCGGGGGUGACCGAGACAGCCCUCUAGGGAGAGCGAUAAGGGGCUGGCGGGGAGGGGAGAGAGGAAAGAGGAGAGGGAAGGAGAGGAGAAGAGAGGAGGGGCCGGGCCGGAGCCGGGCUGGAGGGAGGAGAGGCGGAGCCUCUUCCGUACGUGCCAGGAGGCUGCGGCGCGGGCUGGGGGGGGGGGGGAGCAGCUUGGAGGGGAGGGGGGAGCCGCGGCGUCGGCGCGUCGCCUUGCUGGGCCCCGGCCGGUGGUCAGGAGGGAGAGAGGAGGAGGAGGAGGAGGAGAAGAAGGAGGAGGAGGAGGUAAGUAGGCUCCGGGCUGGUGGGUGGAAGCAGCGCGGGGCAGUGCGUGCGCGCCGGGAUCAGGGCUCGCGACUAGCGGGGGAGGGAACGAAGGAGGAUCUGCCCCUCCUCCCCCCCUCCCUCCCACCUUCCCCUCCCCACGGGAGCGUGGCGGGGCGCGCAGUUUGGAGCUCCCCGAGGAGGGGCGCGCCAUGGGGGGGGAGGGAGGGGGAGGGGGAGGCGGAGCUGGGGCUGUGCGCCACUAAUCCCAGGUGCAGAGAGUUGGGGAGGGAGGUGCUGCGUGGGCCCCCCUGCAACUUGCUGCACCCCCCACCUUCUCCGUUCUUGAAGGGAGGGGAAAAAAAAGGAUAUGGUACAACACCUAAGAUUACGCCUUUCAUGUCUAGGACAGCUUUGAGAAAAAGGAAUUCCUCACAGCAGGGAUUCUUUACAAAGUAUCAGUACCGAUGAGGUGACUCAGGGAAACCUUCCUAGGGUAAGCUAAAAGACCUUAACCUUUUUUGUAUCAGGGACUCCCUUGGCAAUC
ensembl:lncRNA